rnacentral:rRNA from 1 species
CGCCUUGCCAGCCCGCUCAGAAACUUAAAGGAAUUGACGGGGGCCCGCACAAGCGGCGGAGCAUGUGGAUUAAUUCGAUGCAACGCGAAGAACCUUACCUGGGUUUGACAUACACCGGAAAACCGUAGAGAUACGGUCCCCCUUGUGGUCGGUGUACAGGUGGUGCAUGGCUGUCGUCAGCUCGUGUCGUGAGAUGUUGGGUUAAGUCCCGCAACGAGCGCAACCCUUGUCUUAUGUUGCCAGCACGUGAUGGUGGGGACUCGUAAGAGACUGCCGGGGUCAACUCGGAGGAAGGUGGGGACGACGUCAAGUCAUCAUGCCCCUUAUGUCCAGGGCUUCACACAUGCUACAAUGGCCAGUACAGAGGGCUGCGAGACCGUGAGGUGGAGCGAAUCCCUUAAAGCUGGUCUCAGUUCGGAUCGGGGUCUGCAACUCGACCCCGUGAAGUCGGAGUCGCUAGUAAUCGCAGAUCAGCAACGCUGCGGUGAAUACGUUCCCGGGCCUU